rfam:Clostridium sp. BL8 Contig50, whole genome shotgun sequence.
AAGAACUAAUAACUUGAAAAGUCAAAUGAGAGGGUAACGCCUUGAAGGGCUUUCUCUGAUACUCUGAAUAGCGGUUCUGUUAAUAAGAAUGGAACUGUUAUAAGCUCGGUGAAGUCGGCUGAGAUUACACCCUAAGGAGCGA